AAUCAAAAACUUUUCAACAACGGAUCUCUUGGUUCUGGCAUCGAUGAAGAACGCAGCGAAAUGCGAUAAGUAAUGUGAAUUGCAGAAUUCAGUGAAUCAUCGAAUCUUUGAACGCACAUUGCGCCCGCCAGUAUUCUGGCGGGCAUGCCUGUCCGAGCGUCA
rnacentral:rRNA from 1 species